CCUACGGGUGGCAGCAGUCGAGAAUUUUUCACAAUGGGGGAAACCCUGAUGGAGCGACGCCGCGUGGAGGAUGACGGCCCUUGGGUUGUAAACUCCUGUCAUGCGGGAACAAGAAAGUGAUAGUACUGCAAGAGGAAGAGACGGCUAACUCUGUGCCAGCAGCCGCGGUAAUACAGAGGUCUCAAGCGUUGUUCGGAUUCAUUGGGCGUAAAGGGUGCGUAGGCGGUAGUGUAAGUCUGAUGUGAAAUCUCGAAGCUUAACUUCGAAACUGCAUUAGAUACUGUACUGCUAGAGGAUUGUAGAGGAGAUUGGAAUUCACGGUGUAGCAGUGAAAUGCGUAGAUAUCGUGAGGAAGACCAGUGGCGAAGGCGAAUCUCUAGGCAAUUCCUGACGCUGAGGCACGAAGGCCAGGGGAGCAAACGGGAUUAGAUACCCUUGUA
rnacentral:rRNA from 1 species